UGCCUUCUCCAUUUUUCUUGUGAUUCAUGUUUGAGUUUUUUCUUCGCUCCAUCACAUUCUUUUAGAGUCUUUAGUUUAUUCUGCUCCUCUGCAUUCUGCUUGUUGCAUAGGUGGGAGAGAUGGGAUCCAUUAUUCGUCGUCUCAGCUUUGGAUAUCACAGCAUGCCUUGAAGAGCAGAUAAUAAGUUGUAACCAAAUUGAUAGUGAAGAUGCUGAUAAUAUAAAUCAAGAUGAAUCAGUUGUUGCAAUGAUUGAAGAGCCAAACUCAGAUCUACUAUCAAGCGGUCAUUGAGAAUAAGGUAAAAAUGAAGUGUACGUAUCUGGAAAAUAAGGAGUCACAACUAUUGUUGUUGGCACAGAACUACCGAUGACACCAGUUCUUUUGCAGCCAUGGCGUGGUUUCCCUCUCUUGUCCUUAUUUGGGCCAUUUGGAGUCGAGUACUCGUGGCAAGAACG